rnacentral:misc_RNA from 1 species
GUUCAGAUAAUACAUUUUACCUGAAUCAAGAUCAAGGCAUUGUUCCCAAUCCAGAGGAAGAGGGUCUUUAACAUGAAGAUCAACAGAUUCUGAUAAGUAUUUCCUUUUCCUGCUGCUACUGAAACUGGAAAAGUUGUUUUCAGAUUCUGAAGAUGAACUAUUCAUACUUUUUUCAACAACAAACUGAGUUGGAGCCAAGGAGAGCUCUGUAAGUUCCAUUAUCCUCCAAAAACUCUUACCCUUUCUCAGAUUCAAUAUAUUUCAAUACGUAAACAUAUAUUAACAAGACUCUCUCUGUCUACACACAGCUUUUGCUCUGCAUUACCUUAGCUUUCAAGGUUGAGGAAAGAUAGAAGAGUGAAGAGAAGAAAAUGAAGAGAAACCAAUUGAGGAAACUUUGUAAACAAACAGAGAGUGAAGCGUAGUAGUACAUAACCCAAAU